AGCUCCAAUAGCGUAUAUUAAAGUUGUUGCGGUAAAAAAGCUCGUAGUUGGAUUUCUGUUGAGGACGACCGGUCCAUACCACGUAUGCGCAUCUGGCUCGGCCUCGGCAUCCUCUCGCGAAACGUUUCUGCGCUUGAUUGCGUGGAGCGGGUCUCGGGACUUUUACUUUGAGGAAAUUAGAGUGUUCACGGCAGGCUAUCGCCCGAAUACAUUAGCAUGGAAUAAUACUAUAGGAUUUCGCACCUAUUUUGUUGGUUUCUAGGCGUGAAAUAAUGAUUAAUAGGGACAAUUGGGGGCAUUCGUAUCAACACGUCAGAGGUGGAAUUCUUGGAUUGUGUUGCGACGAACUACUGCGAAAGCAUUUGCCAAGGAUGUUUUCA
rnacentral:rRNA from 1 species